AAAAGAGCCACUCUAAGAAGAUGGUUAAAUGAAUUUAGAAUUCCAGAGGGAGGAAAAAGCAGGGAAGAUCAGAGAGAGGGAGGUACUCUGAAGCACUAUCUUUUCCACACAAAAAAAGCUGGACUGAAACUAUAAAUAACUAUUUAACUGUAGUGAACUGUUGCAUGAAAUUAUUUUAAAACUUUAUAUUUGAAGCUGCACCCAUUGCCAGAGUGUAUAGGAAGAAUUUUUUCCAUUGUCUUCAGGUUUCACUCCAUAGGCUCUGUGUGACCUCACAUCUGUUUCCACACUGAGUUGCCAUGGAGUUCCUGGUGAUGGAAAUCUCAAACAGGCUGAGACAGAAAACAUGCACGUGGAUCAGUGUCCUGGAAAAAGUGACUGGAUACCUUUUGACUUCCACUGGAUAGAGCAGAAUUAAAAUGAAAUCCAGCAAAAAGGGAGGAUCAGGCCCCUGAGAUUUCCUCCUUCAUUCCUCCUCCUGAUCGAGACUGGGAACGAGGGAAGCAGCAAGACCCAACACCACCUCCUAGAAUCCUGCAAACUGCUCUUAGCUGGAUGCAAAUUCUGCCUCAAUCUGCCUCAAUUCUGGUUUAAUUACAGCCCUAAAUGCUGGCCUGGCUUCAAAGGAGCUCUCCAAAGAGCUGGGCUGAGUUCUGAGUGUCCCACCUCGCAGAGCAUCCCCACAAAGGAUGAAGGAUUUAUGGGUCUGGAUCUCACCCAAACCAAAUCUGGAAGGCACCACUCAAAUUUGCUUUGAACCCUGCAUUUCAUGCAGACCUGUAGAAAAUCCAGACAAGGGAAUGAGCAAUGGAGGAGAGUGACAUGUGGAAAAGCAGACGGAGAACCAGUGACAUCUGCCAGGAUAAUUGUGUUUGAAAAUAUCCCAGAUCUCACUUUGACAGAACUGACUGGCAACAUGGAUAUUUCAGGGAACUAUACUCUGUGCUAUUUUUGCUGGUUUGUACCUUGAAUAUGGCAGGUUGUUUGCACAUUUCAAGUUUUUGUUUUCACAGCCCUGGCUAGGAACAUACGAAGAAGCUGAGAAUAGGCAGGACAUAAAAUAUUUGGCCGCAGAAAUUCUGUAUAUGAGUGUUACUUAUUUUCCUAUUCACAUAUGUGCAGUCAGCUCCAGUGGCUCAGUUAUAUUUUGGCUUCAAAUGCCAAGUUUAACUUGGCUCUACAACCAAGGAUUUUGGUUUACCAGAGGUUAAUAGCAGCUUUUCAUUAAAGUUGGCCAUAUAAAGACACUUGAAUGAAAAGUUUAGGAUGUUUGACAUAGUUUUCUCAUAUUUCUUUUAGUUGCAAAAUAGAGACCAUUAAUAUUAAUGCUCAAAUGUUUGAGAAAACAAGAAUGCAAAAUACCAGACAUGGUCCAGGUGUUCACAUAAAUUUCAGACUGAGUUUCCUUUCCCUACAUCUCUUCUAGGAGGAAGAAUUCAUAAAUCUCUGCAUGACACAUCUGUAGAAGGCUGCUCACCCAAAAAGAGCUAGGCUUGCAAAGCAAGCAAUUUCAAGAGGUGAUCUAAAACCAAUUUUUUUAUAAAGAGUUUAUCACUUCAGAUCAAGCCUUAAGUGCCAU
rnacentral:lncRNA from 1 species